AGAGUUUGAUCAUGGCUCAGGAUGAACGCUAGCGACAGGCUUAACACAUGCAAGUCGAGCGGGGACAUUGCGACGGAAACGAAGUACUCGUACGGAGUCAAAGAUGUAAUGUUCUAGCGGCGGACGGGUGAGUAACACGUGGGUAACCUACCUCAGAGACUGGGAUAACAGUUAGAAAUGAUUGCUAAUACCGGAUGAUUCAUAGCUAGAUAACUAAUUAUGCUAAAAGGAGUUUUCGCUUCACUUUGAGAUGGGCUUGCGUUGUAUUAGUUAGUUGGUGAGGUAACGGCCCACCAAGUCGACGAUCGGUAGCCGACCUGAGAGGGUGAUCGGCCACAUUGGGACUGAGACACGGCCCAAACUCCUACGGGAGGCAGCAGUGGGGAAUAUUGGGCAAUGGGGGAAACUCUGACCCAGCAACGCCGCGUGAGGGAAGAAGGUUUUCGGAUCGUAAACCUCUGUCUCAGGUGAAGAGGAAGAGACGGUAGCCUGGGAGGAAGCCUCGGCUAACUACGUGCCAGCAGCCGCGGUAAUACGUAGGGGGCGAGCGUUGUCCGGAAUGAUUGGGCGUAAAGGGCGCGUAGGCGGCUCGGUAAGUCUGGAGUGAAAGUCUCUGCUUUUAAGGUGGGAAUUGCCUUUGGAUACUGUCGGGCCUGAGUGCAGGAGAGGUAAGUGRAAUUCYCAGUGUAGCGGUGAAAUGCGUAGAGAUUGRGMRGAACACUCAGUGGUGAMGGCGACUUACUGGACUGUAACUGACGCUGAGGCGCGAMAGUGUGSAGAGCAAACAGGAUUAGAUACCCUGRUAGUCCACACUGUAAACGAUGAAUGCUAGGGUGUAGCGAGUAUCGACCCCUUCUGUGCCGCAGUAAACACAAUAAGCAUUCCGCCUCGGGAGUACGGCCGCACGGUUGAAACUCAAAGGAAUUGACGAGGGCCCGCACAAGCAGCGGAGCAUGUGGUUUAAUUCGAUGAUACGCGAGGAACCUUACCCGGGCUUGAACUGCAGCAGACGGAUUCGGAGAUGAUGACUCCCUUCGGGGCUGCUGUGGAGGUGCUGCAUGGUUGUCGUCAGCUCGUGCCGUGAGGUGUCGGCUUAAGUGCCAUAACGAGCGCAACCCCUCUCGUCAGUUGCCAUCAGGUGAAGCUGGGCACUCUGGCGAUACUGCCACCGUAAGGUGUGAGGACGGUGCGGAUGACGUCAAAUCAGCACGGCCCUUACGUCCGCGGCUACACACGUGUUACAAUGGCGCAUACAGAGAGUCGGUCCUGUGCAAGCAGGGUCUAAUCAAUAAAGUGCGUCGUAGUUCGGACUGGGGUCUGCAACCCGACCCCACGAAGCUGGAUUCGCUAGUAAUCGCGCAUCAGCCAUGGCGCGGUGAAUACGUUCCCGGGCCUUGUACACACCGCCCGUCAAGCCAUGAAAGCCGGGGGCACCUGAAGUCUGUGACCGCGAGGGGCGGCCUAAGGUGAAACUGGUAACUGGGGCUAAGUCGUAACAAGGUAACCGUA
rnacentral:rRNA from 1 species